rnacentral:rRNA from 1 species
AACGGAGGAGGCAAGCGUUAUCCGGAAUUAUGGGGCGUAAAGCGUCCGUAGGUGGUUCACCAAGUCUGCUGUCAAAGGGAGGGGCUUAAACUAAUAAAGGCAGUGGAAACUGGUGAGCUAGAGUGCGGUAGGGGUAAGGGGAAUUCCCAGUGUAGCGGUGAAAUGCGUAGAGAUUGGGAAGAACAUCGGUGGCGAAAGCGCCUUACUGGGCCUGCACUGACACUGAGGGACGAAAGCUAUUGGAGCGAAAGGG